rnacentral:rRNA from 1 species
GAUGAACGCUGGCGGCGUGCUUAACACAUGCAAGUCGAACGAAGCACUUUAUUUGAUUUCCUUCGGGACUGAUCAUUUUGUGACUGAGUGGCGGACGGGUGAGUAACGCGUGGGUAACCUGCCUUGUACAGGGGGAUAACAGUUGGAAACGGCUGCUAAUACCGCAUAAGCGCACAGCAUCGCAUGAUGCAGUGUGAAAAACUCCGGUGGUAUAAGAUGGACCCGCGUUGGAUUAGCUAGUUGGUGAGGUAACGGCCCACCAAGGCGACGAUCCAUAGCCGACCUGAGAGGGUGACCGGCCACAUUGGGACUGAGACACGGCCCAAACUCCUACGGGAGGCAGCAGUGGGGAAUAUUGCACAAUGGGCGAAAGCCUGAUGCAGCGACGCCGCGUGAGCGAAGAAGUAUUUCGGUAUGUAAAGCUCUAUCAGCAGGGAAGAUAAUGACGGUACCUGACUAAGAAGCACCGGCUAAAUACGUG